AUGACCCCUUUAAGUCCCUUGUCUGAGGGAUAACCUGAUAAUAAUAAACAUAGGUCAAAGUACGGCCUUUUACACAGAGCUUUGAUCCAGACCAAACAGCAAGCUAUAAGGGACCACAACUUAGUAUUGUACACAAUUCGAACAGGAAAACCAACGAUCUAAUUUAUAUUUCCAAACGGGAAAAUACCACAUCAACAAACGAUAACUGC
rnacentral:lncRNA from 1 species